CGGCUAAGGAAGAGGGAGUCGCCGUUUAAAAAUUGCGGCCCCAACGCCAAAUCAAACCAAACCCAAGGUCGACGAUUCGAAACCGCUAACGGCCGUUUCUGCACGUGUUUCAACUCCAACCCACGCUUUGGACAAGUACACUCCUUGCGUGCGUGCGUGGCUCUUCAUUUAUUUCUUCUCUGUCAUUUUUUUCAUUCUCUCUUUCUAUUUUCCUUUCUCUUUUUCAUUUUUGUUUUUGUUGGGAAGUAAACUAACCUCAAUAUAAAUCCGAAGGAUCAACCCGAAGUUAACGACAAUAGUCAAGAAAUCAGUCGAAACGUGCAAAUACAAGAGAGCAGUGCCGUAACUAUAGAUCCUCCUACAUCUAUAUAUAAUAAAGUUGAUGGAGGUGUUUGCUGCGGCUAAUGCGAGUGGUGACCAAGAUGGAGUGACUCGCUGUCGAGGAAGGGCUGGUUAGGCACCUCCGGAAGGUGGCCUGCUAAAAUGUAAUAUGGAUUCUACCUGUUUCAAGUAAGAGGGGGCUACAGGGUAUGCGAUCGUAGUUUGGGACUCUUCGAGCUCUGUGCUUAAAAGUUUUUCUGGUUUUAUUUAUGUUUGUUUUAAUGAGGCAUUGUCAUGGCUAAAAUCUUUGGCUUUCGAUAAUGUAAUAGUUGAGUUGGAUUGUUUGCUUGUAAUUUCGGCUUUGUCACGUCCAUCAUCUGAUUUUUCUAAACUAGAUAUGUUGUUUCGUGAUUGUUUACUAAUGAAGAAUCAAUUUCAGCA